UGUGGGUGAAGGGGAGAAGAAAAGAAAGCACACUGCCAUGUGUGUACCUACGCAACUGUCUUGCAUGCUCUGCUCAUGUACCCCAAAACCUAUAAUCCAAUAAAAAAUUAAAAAAAAAAAUGUAAUCUGUACCUGUUUAACAGUAUUUGGAGCAGAAGUAAAUGAGGCAAACUGUGCCAGUUUAUGUCCUCCAAGAAGCAGAUGCUAAGACAGAGUUAGACACGUGAAAGGUUUCUGGAGGAGAGUACCUGUGAAAGAUGAAAAGGAAUGGAGCAGCAAGAACCUGGGGAACUGCACUGUCUCACAGGAGAUGGGGUUUCGCCCCAUUGCCCAGGCUGGUCUCUAACUCCUGAGCUCAAGAGAUCCACCUGCCUUGGCCUCCCAAAGUGCUGGAAUUACAGGAGAAUGCAAUCAAGCUCACGUGCAAAUGCAGGAGAUGACGCUUUCUCUGAGAAUGAUCCUUUUGUGAAAAAGCAGAGUGAUUGCAAAGGGGUGGGGAGAGAUUUAGAUGCCGCGGUUUGUGAUGAAGCAAUCAGUGCUGGUAAGAAGGUGAUAACGAAAGUUAUUUUUUAAAGGUACGUUAAAAUGUAACAACCAUUUUUGGUUUACUUCUGAAUUGUCAUUUGCUCUGUGUGUGUUGACAGUAAACCUCCAAAGAAGGAAAAAUGCUUGUGCCACAGGUGAGAAGCCCCACUAAGUGAGUCCCCCUCCAUAAAGACCGGGAUUAUUCUGUAAACCCACAAGAGCUUUCUUAGUCAUUCAAACACUCUAAAUAAAAAUGCAUAUGGUGGGUUUUUUUUGCCUGUGUACAUUUUCCACAAAUUUUCAAUCUGUCAAUAUGUGUUUUACUCUCUAAAUAAGACAGUACAAUUAAUGAAUAGCUAUGAGUGUAUUAUUUGAAAAUCUAUCAGGCUCCAUCACUUACAGCUGGCAGUGUGGACGUGGGUAAGUUAUGUAAUCUUUCUAAGCCUCAGUGUCUUCAACUGUACAUUAGAAUGUUUAUAUACAUUUAGAAACUGUAGUACUUAAACCAUGUUAUUGUGAGAAUUACUUGAGAUAGUGCUUGUAAAUUUUCAAGAUUGUGACUAUCAUAUACUAAGUGCUUACAUCUUAGCUUGAGAAUCAAGGUGACAUACUGGCCUUCCAGUCAAACUUUCUACCUGUUAUUCUUGUAAUGAAACUUCCAGACAGACAGACAGGCACGUACUGCCAGCCUGGCUGCUUGUCCCCAUCUCAGUGUCUGGAUUGGCCUCCUCUUUUCCUCCUUAUACAAAUGACUCAUCCUUCACAGCUGAGCUAAGUUCACCACCUCCCUGAAGCUUGCUACCCCUAACCUCUGUUUCACAGGGCUCCUCCUCUCCUGGAGCUGGUGAGAGGUCAAGUACGGAUUCCUGAUCUGGAAAACGGUGCAAGUCUGAAGAGGAGAAGUUUCAGAUAGAGCCAGGCAGGUUGGUACAAUGCUCGUCUCUUUGGGGAAUGUUUCUUGGGGAGGAAUGUGUGAAUUUACACUUCAAAAAUUCUGUAAAGUCAAAACUCUCUUUUUCUUGGCAUUUGAACUUAUCUCAAGUUAGAGGAAACUUCAUGUUGGUCACAUGUGUUACAUUCAGGAUUACUGGUCAUUUUACAUUUUGUGAUCCUAUGUGUCACCUAAUGCACUUGUCAUCUUUUGGCUUUUCAAUAUCAACUCUCUUUUCCUAACACCAUUUCAAGUACUGUUAGAGGAAUCUCCUGUUCUGUAGCCUUGGUGAUAGUGUCCAGGAGCACGGGAAAUAGGUUUAGACAGACGCGUUUUUGUUGGAACUUCGGUCUUGACAGAAAGACCUGAAGUUGGUUAGGGCCCCUCCUUCACAGCAGUAGUGGUGGUCGUGUGCGAACCAGACAUCCUGUGGGCCAUUCUGCACUUUGACUGCGAGGGCCCAGCCUUCAGGACCUCUCCUGCCCCAUCGUGGUUCCCAAACCUGAUCCUGCUGCUUCCUGUUCACUCUGCAACACCAGAUAGUUGAAUAAUUUCUCUUUUUUUCCCCUUAAAAUGUACAGAUUUAGUUUCUUUCACUUAUGCAAAAGGACUUUGAUAGUCCACUGUGGAAAGUAGUUUGCAGAUUUCUCAAAGAACGUAAAGCAACUACCAUUCAGCCUGGAAAUCCCAUUACUGGUUAUAUGUCCAAAAGAAAUCAUUCUACCAAAAAGACACAUGCAAUCACAUGUACAUUGCAGCACUAUUCACGAUAGAAAAGACAUAGAACCAACCUAGGUGCCCAUCAACAGUGGACUGGUGUAAGAAAAUGUGGUAUAUAUACACUGUGGAAUACUUCACAGCCAUAAAAAAGAAUGAUGUCAUGUCUUUUGCAGCAACAUGAAUGCAGCUGGAGGCUUUUACUCUAAGUGAAUUCACACAGGAGCAAAAAAACCAAAUAUCACAUGUUCUCACUUAUAAGGGGGAGCUAUAUUUUGGGUACUCAUGGAUCUGAAUAUGGCAACAAUAGAAACUGGAGGCCUCUCAAGUCAGGAAGGAGGGAGUGGGGGAAGGGUGGAAAAACCAACUAUUGGGUACUAUGCUUAGUACCUGGGUGAUGGGAUGAUUUGUACCCCAAUAUACCCUGGUAACAAACCCGCAUCUGCACAUAGAACUCCUGAAUCUAAAAUAAAAGAUGAAACAAAAGAACUUUGGCUGAUAAGAAUGAUAGUAAUCAUAAUUACCAUUGUUUUUAUAGCAAGAAGCUUACAAUUACUGAGCCCAUUCAAUAUGCCGAGCACUAUUCCAAGUGUUUGACAUGUAUUAACUCCCUCAUCCCCAUAAUCAUCGAGGUAGGCACUAUUGUCAUUAUCCUGAUUUCCAGAUGAAAGAAGCUGAAAUGCAGAGAGAUUUCUCAGGUUCAUGUAGCUAAUAAAUAGCCAAGUCAGGAUUUGAA